AGCCACAAGUUUAUAUUUGUGGUUGAACCUGCCCAAUGUGGAAAGAAUGAAUGGCCGCGGUACUCUGACCGUGCUAAGGUAGCGUAAUCAGUUGGCUUUUAAAUGGAGUCAGGAAUGAAUGGAUUUACCGGGCUUAGCUGUCUCCAAGGUAUUAUAUUGAAUUUACUGUUUAAGUGAAAAAGCUUAAUUUUAAAAAAGGGACGAGAAGACCCUUAGAAUUUUUUCUAUUUUAGUGUAUUACUUUUAAGGUUGCUAAUAAUGAUUUUAUUGGGGCGAUAAAGAAAUAAUUUUUAACUUUCUUUGAAAUACAAGCCGAAUAUAUUAAGAGAGGAUAAAUUACCUGAGGGAUAACAGCAUAAUUCUAUAAAUGAGUUUGUGACCUCGAUGUUGGACUAGGAAACUGAUAAGCUAGGCGCUUAUUUUGUGGGUUCUGUUCGAACUUUUAUUCCU
rnacentral:rRNA from 1 species